CUUAUUAUGACACUCAUUCUCUAUUUGUGGCUCAAGUGCUGCCAUGCCUCUAAAAUUUCCAUCAAUCGAGAUAACGAAUUAACCAACAAACACUAAUUGGCUCUAAACAAAAUGAAAUCAUCGUGCUGACAACUAAAAUAAAGGCAGAAAUAAGAAAUCCCUUCUACAUGAACAAACAAAUAAGGCAAACUAAAAUGACAUUAAAAUAGUUAAAUUGAUUUGUUCUGCUUCAACCUAUAUCUCUCGACAUUUGCAAGCUAAGCAGUAGGAUUAUACAACUUCACAGUAUCAACAGGGUCUAAACAGUAGUGCCUCGUCCAAAUGAAUUACUCAAAACUUUGAAAUUAUUGUGUCAAGCUUUUCAUGAAUUUACCGCAUCAAUUACUUCAAACACAUGUCACAAUCAAUCCAAUGACCUUUGCAUAAAUAUGUAAUAACGUACAUGGAAAGAUUAAACUAAAGUAUCACUAUUUUGGUCAACAAAAUUGCAUCUUAAUUUAAGAUAUAGAAAGGUAGAUAUACUGGACACAACUGUAUACUUGAACAAUAUGAAAGCACAUCCAGAUUGAUAUUUUCACAUUAACACAUGUAAAUCAAAAUCAGUUCAGUCCAACAAAAGGAGGAGUAGGUCGAUCCAGACUCAAAUUUGAUCAUUCUUAACAAUUCACUUAUCUAUUUAUGAAAUCAAAUCUCACAUACAAAGCCAAGACAGACAUUAAAGGCUAAACAAAUUACAAAUAUGUUCAAUUACAAUGCCCUAUUCGACGCUGAAUCAUCACAAAUCCUUGGAAGAAUAAGUUGUUUCAUGCUUCUGGACUAUUCUGUCAUUUCAAACAUUUUAUAAGUCAAUGUUACCUACAUAUUAGUUGAAUAUCAAACCAAUAGAAGAUAAGAUUUAAACAGAUCCAUAUAAAUAAGACAUGAUUUCAGAAUUUUUUAAUCAUUCAAGUGAACGCAGUAUACAAGGAAGUGUAGAACUAACCUAUUUGUAGACGAAGACACUAAGAGCUCAGCAAGACCAUAGACAACAACAUCAAUUUCAACAGCAAUACACGGCCUAAUUUUUGCGCGAGUCAAACCAAGCGAAACUUGCAGAAAUACAAGUCUGCGACAAGCCGAAUAAAGCUAAGAAACAGUUGCGAGUAGAAGUCCAACAACAAAGGAUUUGAACCACAAGCCCAGCAGAGAAGAACAUUAGCAAAAUAACUCAACCAAACCCAGCAAAAUCAACGCAAGCUAAUAGAAAUCGAAGCCAGCCCCUCUAAUUCUAACUUUCUUCUUCUUUUUGUUUUGUAAUUUUUUUGUUUUUCGGAUUUAGAUCUGUCUGAUUUCUUUGAGAUUUUGAAAAGAUUGUUUUCAAAUAUUUUGGCAUUUCUCUGUGUAUAUUUUCUGUUUGAGAGUGGGAGUGAGAGGGAGAAUCAAUGGAGAAGAAGAGGGAAUCGAAAAUUUUCGAGAAGAUUUUUUUUUUGAAACUCCUUUUUUUGGGAUAUGAUGUGUGUAUGUUGUAUGUGAAUGAGUGAAGAAGAAGGGUUGAAAAAUUGGGGAAUGAGACACGCCUUUUUCGUGUCUCUAAGGGGAGGGUACAGCUAAAUGGGAUUUGGGCCAUGGUCAUGGGUUUUUGGGUUGGGUUCAAUUGGGCUGAGCUGUUUGGCCCAAAUUUGGGUCUUAUGACCAACCUUUUAAUUUAUUUUUCUUUGGCUUUUCUCUUUUAUCUCUUUUAUUAAUUAAUUAAAAUACUAAAUUAUUU
rnacentral:lncRNA from 1 species